AGCGAACGCUGGCGGCAGGCCUAACACAUGCAAGUCGAACGAACCCUUCGGGGUUAGUGGCGGACGGGUGAGUAACACGUGGGAACGUGCCUUUAGGUUCGGAAUAACUCAGGGAAACUUGUGCUAAUACCGAAUGUGCCCUUCGGGGGAAAGAUUUAUCGCCUUUAGAGCGGCCCGCGUCUGAUUAGCUAGUUGGUGAGGUAAUGGCUCACCAAGGCUACGAUCAGUAGCUGGUCUGAGAGGAUGACCAGCCACAUUGGGACUGAGACACGGCCCAAACUCCGACGGGAGGCAGCAGUGGGGAAUCUUGCGCAAUGGGGGAAAGCCUGACGCAGCCAUGCCGCGUGGAUGAUGAAGGUCUUAGGAUUGUAAAAUCCUUUCACCGGUGAAGAUAAUGACUGUAGCCGGAGAAGAAGCCCCGGCUAACUUCGUGCCAGCAGCCGCAGUAAGAC
rnacentral:rRNA from 1 species